GACGAACGCUGGCGGCGUGCUUAACACAUGCAAGUCGAACGGAAAGGCCCUGCUUUUGUGGGGUGCUCGAUUGGCGAACGGGUGAGUAACACGUGAGUAACCUGCCCUUGACUUUGGGAUAACUUCAGGAAACUGGGGCUAAUACCGGAUAGGAGCUCCUGCUGCAUGGUGGGGGUUGGAAAGUUCCGGCGGUUGGGGAUGGACUCGCGGCUUAUCAGCUUGUUGGUGGGGUAGUGGCUUACCAAGGCUUUGACGGGUAGCCGGCCUGAGAGGGUGACCGGCCACAUUGGGACUGAGAUACGGCCCAGACUCCUACGGGAGGCAGCAGUGGGGAAUAUUGCACAAUGGGCGGAAGCCUGAUGCAGCAACGCCGCGUGCGGGAUGACGGCCUUCGGGUUGUAAACCGCUUUCGCCUGUGACGAAGCGUGAGUGACGGUAAUGGGUAAAGAAGCACCGGCUAACUACGUG
rnacentral:rRNA from 1 species